rnacentral:rRNA from 1 species
AUUGAACGCUGGCGGCAUGCCUUACACAUGCAAGUCGAACGGCAGCGGGGACUUCGGUCCGCCGGCGAGUGGCGAACGGGUGAGUAAUGUAUCGGAACGUACCUUUCAGUGGGGGAUCACGUAGCGAAAGUUACGCUAAUACCGCAUAUUCUGUGAGCAGGAAAGCAGGGGAUCGCAAGACCUUGCGCUGAUUGAGCGGCCGAAAUCAGAUUAGCUAGUUGGUGAGGUAAAGGCUCACCAAGGCGACGAUCUGUAGCGGGUCUGAGAGGAUGAUCCGCCACACUGGAACUGAGACACGGUCCAGACUCCUACGGGAGGCAGCAGUGGGGAAUAUUGGACAAUGGGCGGAAGCCUGAUCCAGCCAUGCCGCGUGUGUGAAGAAGGCCUUUUGGUUGUAAAGCACUUUAAGCGAGGAGGAGGCUCUUAAGGUUAAUACCCUUGAUGAGUGGACGUUACUCGCAGAAUAAGCACCGGCUAACUCUGCGCCAGCCGCCGCAGUAAUAC